GUGAGGAAUAUUGCGCAAUGGAGGCAACUCUGACGCAGCCAUGCCGCGUGCAGGAAGAAGGCGCUACGCGUUGUAAACUGCUUUUAACCGGGAAGAAACCCCAGGACGUGUCCUGGGUUGACGGUACCGGAGGAAUAAGCACCGGCUAACUUCGUGCCAGCAGCCGCGGUAAUACGAAGGGUGCAAGCGUUAUCCGGAUUCAUUGGGUUUAAAGGGUGCGUAGGCGGAGCGUUAAGUCAGUGGUGAAAUCCUGCAGCUUAACUGUAGACUUGCCAUUGAUACUGGCGCUCUUGAGUGCGCUUGAAGUGGGCGGAAUGUGUCGUGUAGCGGUGAAAUGCUUAGAUAUGGCACAGAACACCAAUUGCGAAGGCAGCUCACUAAGGCGAUACUGACGCUGAGGCACGAAAGCGUGGGGAUCGAACAGGAUUAGAUACCCUGGUAGUCC
rnacentral:rRNA from 1 species